rnacentral:lncRNA from 1 species
AUCAAUAUUUUAGUUGAUAGAAGUAUUGAAGUAAAUAUUAUGGCCAACCACAUUCAACAAUACCUCCAACUUCUAAAGCCAAAAAAAACGUGGUUUAUACUUAUGAUUGGAAUAAGAAUUGUCUAACCUUAACUAAAGAAAUAUAAGAAUCAAUAAUUAUUUCAAUCAAAAAUAUAAGAAUCAAUAAUAUGUGCUACUUAUGAUUGGAAUAAGAAUUGCU